rnacentral:rRNA from 1 species
GACAGAGGGUGCAAACGUUGUUCGGAAUUACUGGGCGUAAAGCGCGUGUAGGCGGCUCUGCAAGUCGGAUGUGAAAUCCCACGGCUCAACCAUGGAAGUGCAUUCGAAACUGCAGGGCUAGAGUCCUGGAGAGGAAGGUGGAAUGCUUGGUGUAGAGGUGAAAUUCGUAGAUAUCAAGCGGAACACCGGUGGCGAAGGCGGCCUUCUGGACAGUGACUGACGCUGAGACGCGAAAGCGUGGGGAGCAAACAGGG